AUGAAAAACGUUUUCGCGAAAGAUAUCAUGCUUGGUUGCAGUAUUAAAGCAUUCCUAGUAAAGAGUGGUAAGACAAAAUGUCAUCAUCAUAUCUAAAAACGAUAAGUGAUGAUUUUUCUGGAGAGAUACAUUUAAGUCCAUCCUGUGGGGCAUCGACGAAAACAAUAUUAAUGGGUACACAAUAUGUUACUGUCCUGGUUAGAAAGUGCGUCUGCGGAAGAUAUACCGAUAUGACUCAUUUUGACGUGGCAACAAAAUCAUCAUACAGUUUUCCAAUACCUGGGGUUAUUUUUACCAUCAAUGGUUACAUGGAAUCGAUAAAACAAAGGAUCGGUCAGCAAUGGGUAUAUGAGCUAAACUUUAAAAAUUACGCUCCACGAAGAUCAACACAAGCCCGUUAGUAUAAGAAGAUUCCAACAGCGUUUGAUCGAAGCAUUGUAAGGUUUGCAAAAACAAUAUAAUAACUUGAUGAUACCUUCUGGCGCUGCACGAUGGAAGAAGAAGAAACUUACAAAUGUACAAACGUGAUCUCGAGACUGUUUUACACCAACUAAAGAAUAACAUUAAAACUUAUUUUUGUGCCAUACCUACUGAAUGAAAUAAACUUUCUUGAUAAAAAACUGUUUAAUAUAGCAGGAGUUGGAAAUAGGCUCAUAUGAAUAACACCAAUACAAUAUAAUAUGACUGUAUAUUGUGACUAUAAGAAAAUAAAUACUCAGAGCACUAAUUAGUAGACGAAUUUUACUUCAUCUUUUUAAUGAUUUCUUGAGACUUACUUCAAUAAACCAAUUAUGAACAUA